rnacentral:rRNA from 1 species
GACGAACGCUGGCGGCGUGCCUAAUACAUGCAAGUAGAACGCUGAAGAGAGGAGCUUGCUCUUCUUGGAUGAGUUGCGAACGGGUGAGUAACGCGUAGGUAACCUGCCUUGUAGCGGGGGAUAACUAUUGGAAACGAUAGCUAAUACCGCAUAACAAUGGAUGACACAUGUCAUUUAUUUGAAAGGGGCAAUUGCUCCACUACAAGAUGGACCUGCGUUGUAUUAGCUAGUAGGUGAGGUAAUGGCUCACCUAGGCGACGAUACAUAGCCGACCUGAGAGGGUGAUCGGCCACACUGGGACUGAGACACGGCCCAGACUCCUACGGGAGGCAGCCGUAGGGAAUCUUCGGCAAUGGGGGCAACCCUGACCGAGCAACGCCGCGUGAGUGAAGAAGGUUUUCGGAUCGUAAAGCUCUGUUGUAAGUCAAGAACGGGUGUGAGAGUGGAAAGUUCACACUGUGACGGUAGCUUACCAGAAAGGGACGGCUAACUACGUG